UUGUUACGAACGCAGCAUAACAUUUCAGCUCGGGUAGCUCCACUAUAAGUGUUGCGUUGCUUUUCCAGCAGAGUCGUGUCAGUGUGACUUUCUACCUGCUAUACAGACACAUUGUUUUGAGAGCAGAAGAGCAGAGUGGAAGAGAAUCGUUAUUCUAUUUUUCCCUACUGCACUGUACAAUAUUAAUCGAUUAUGCGGCACGGAGGAGGAUGGUGUUUCCAGCAGACACAGAAGAGUCUGACCUCAUCACAUAUUUAUUGAAAUGUCACAGUGACACCUUAAUUACAGAACAGUGGAUGAAGAGGGAAUACGGCCUUCACUACUUCCUGAAACAUCCUCUGUGGACGUGCACUACAUCACGUCCAACCUGUCCCCAAAGAUGAGUGAGAGUGAUACCCUGAAGCAAGUCAAAGAGAUGCAACCCCUGACCUUCCUCCAGGAUUUCCUGAUCAACCCUGAGGGUAUGCACUAC